AGAGUUUGAUCCUGGCUCAGGAUGAACGCUGGCGGUCUGCUUAACACAUGCAAGUCGAACGCAACCUUCGGGUUGAGUGGCGGACGGGUGAGUAACGCGUGAGAAUCUGCCUUAGGGUCGGGGACAACCACUGGAAACGGUGGCUAAUACCGGAUAAGCCGAUUGGUGAAAGAUUUAUUGCCCGAAGAGGAGCUCGCGUCUGAUUAGCUAGUUGGUGAGGUAAGAGCUCACCAAGGCAGCGAUCAGUAGCUGGUCUGAGAGGACGAUCAGCCACACUGGGACUGAGACACGGCCCAGACUCCUACGGGAGGCAGCAGUGGGGAAUUUUCCGCAAUGGGCGAAAGCCUGACGGAGCAAGACCGCGUGAGGGAGGAAGGCUCUUGGGUUGUAAACCUCUUUUCUCAGGGAAGAAGCUCUGACGGUACCUGAGGAAUCAGCCUCGGCUAACUCCGUGCCAGCAGCCGCGGUAAUACGGAGGAGGCAAGCGUUAUCCGGAAUUAUUGGGCGUAAAGCGUCCGCAGGUGGCGAUUCAAGUCUGCUGUCAAAGCACGGGGCUUAACUCCGUUAAGGCAGUGGAAACUGAA
rnacentral:rRNA from 1 species